GAUGAACGCUGGCGGCGUGCCUAAUACAUGCAAGUCGAGCGAACAGACGAGGAGCUUGCUCCUCUGACGUUAGCGGCGGACGGGUGAGUAACACGUGGAUAACCUACCUAUAAGACUGGGAUAACUUCGGGAAACCGGAGCUAAUACCGGAUAAUAUAUUGAACCGCAUGGUUCAAUAGUGAAGGACGGUUUUGCUGUCACUUAUAGAUGGAUCCGCGCCGCAUUAGCUAGUUGGUAAGGUAACGGCUUACCAAGGCGACGAUGCGUAGCCGACCUGAGAGGGUGAUCGGCCACACUGGAACUGAGACACGGUCCAGACUCCUACGGGAGGCAGCAGUAGGGAAUCUUCCGCAAUGGGCGAAAGCCUGACGGAGCAACGCCGCGUGAGUGAUGAAGGUCUUCGGAUCGUAAAACUCUGUUAUUAGGGAAGAACAAAUGUGUAAGUAACUAUGCACGUCUUGACGGUACCUAAGCAGAAAGCCACGGCUAACUACGU
rnacentral:rRNA from 1 species